GAUGAACGCUGGCGGCGUGCCUAAUACAUGCAAGUCGAGCGAACAGACGAGGAGCUUACUCCUCUGACGUUAGCGGCGGACGGGUGAGUAAAACGUGGAUAACCUACCUAUAAGACUGGGAUAACUUCGGGAAACCGGAGCUAAUACCGGAUAACAUGUUGAACCGCAUGGUUCAACAGUGAAAGACGGUCUUGCUGUCACUUAUAGAUGGAUCCGCGUCGCAUUAGCUAGUUGGUAAGGUAACGGCUUACCAAGGCAACGAUGCGUAGCCGACCUGAGAGGGUGAUCGGCCACACUGGAACUGAGACACGGUCCAGACUCCUACGGGAGGCAGCAGUAGGGAAUCUUCCGCAAUGGGCGAAAGCCUGACGGAGCAACGCCGCGUGAGUGAAGAAGGUCUUCGGAUCGUAAAACUCUGUUAUUAGGGAAGAACAAAUGUGUAAGUAACUAUGCACGUCUUGACGGUACCUAAUCAGAAAGCCACGGCUAACCACGUG
rnacentral:rRNA from 1 species